AUUGAACGCUGGCGGAAUGCUUUACACAUGCAAGUCGAACGGCAGCACGGACUUCGGUCUGGUGGCGAGUGGCGAACGGGUGAGUAAUGUAUCGGAACGUGCCCAGUCGUGGGGGAUAACGUAGUGAAAAUUACGCUAAUACCGCAUACGAUCCAUGGAUGAAAGCGGGGGAUCGCAAGACCUCGCGCGAUUGGAGCGGCCGAUAUCAGAUUAGGUAGUUGGUGGGGUAAAGGCCCACCAAGCCAACUAUCUGUAGCUGGUCUGAGAGGACGACCAGCCACACUGGAACUGAGACACGGUCCAGACUCCUACGGGAGGCAGCAGUGGGGAAUUUUGGACAAUGGGCGAAAGCCUGAUCCAGCCAUUCCGCGUGCAGGAUGAAGGCCCUCGGGUUGUAAACCGCUUUUGUACAGAACGAAAAGGUUUCUACUAAUACUAGGAGCUCAUGACGGUACUGUAAGAAUAAGCACCGGCUAACUACGUGCCAGCAGCCGCAGUAA
rnacentral:rRNA from 1 species